rnacentral:lncRNA from 1 species
UUCCUUCCUCGCAACAGCGACCUAGACCAGCUGGCGGACAUGUGCUUGUCGGUCGAUCCUCCAUGGGCUGUUGAGGUAUGUACAUUUGUUGUGAUCUUUGUCAUGUUGGCUUGACAUCACCGCAGUGUAGCGUUGGCAAUGCCUCUAGACCAAUGUCAUAGUGGGCCCUUCUGUUCUGGCAGGUGGAGAAGAAUUACCUCAACGGGAAGCUGAAAGCCAUAACAGCCUACUUUGAGGAACAGGGCAGCGUAGACGAAAACUGCAUUUUUCGUGAACAACGCCGAUGAUACUCCAUGCAUCCGAAAUCCAAGUAUUCUGCUGGAUGGAAGAUUCUGUGCCGGUGUUUGGUACCCUUGGGCAGCAGUGCAUACCACUGAAUUCAAUGGAUGAUUGGUCGAUUCGCCGAGAAACUUAGUAUCAUGGAUCCUUAAUGCUUCUGCUGUGCCGAGCUUUGGAUGAUGACGAUACUGUCAUGCUGAAGAAGUAUCUGGAUCGUGUAGUUACUUGUAUGUGGUUUAGUUUGUACCGGUGCAAAUUUGGGUAGCCCUGAAUCAUGGGCAGUAUUUUCCACCGCUUAUACAUGGUUUCACCAUCAACUGCUGAUUGUAGUUAGAUGACAGAGGAAGGCUGGGAUUAUAUUUUUUUAUGGAACAAACUGGGUAAAAGAAAAAGGAAAUUUCCUUUAUAAACAUGAAUUUUGGGAUCAUCUAUUAUCCAAAUAAAUGCAC